UACGUAGGGGGCAAGCGUUGUCCGGAUUUAUUGGGCGUAAAGAGCGUGUAGGCGGCCAGGUAGGUCCGUUGUGAAAACUCGAGGCUCAACCUCGAGACGUCGGCGGAAACCCUCUGGCUAGAGUCCGGAAGAGGAGAGUGGAAUUCCUGGUGUAGCGGUGAAAUGCGCAGAUAUCAGGAAGAACACCCGUGGCGAAGGCG
rnacentral:rRNA from 1 species